ACACCCGUAGCUCAGUUGGAUAGAGCAGGAGCCUUCUAAGCUUUUGGUCGUAGGUUCGAAUCCUACCGGGUGUGCCA
rnacentral:tRNA from 2 species